rnacentral:rRNA from 1 species
AGUGAACGCUGGCGGUAGGCCUAACACAUGCAAGUCGAACGGCAGCACAGUAAGAGCUUGCUCUUAUGGGUGGCGAGUGGCGGACGGGUGAGGAAUACAUCGGAAUCUACUUUUUCGUGGGGGAUAACGUAGGGAAACUUACGCUAAUACCGCAUACGACCUACGGGUGAAAGCAGGGGAUCUUCGGACCUUGCGCGAUUGAAUGAGCCGAUGUCGGAUUAGCUAGUUGGCGGGGUAAAGGCCCACCAAGGCGACGAUCGGUAGCUGGUCUGAGAGGAUGAUCAGCCACACUGGAACUGAGACACGGUCCAGACUCCUACGGGAGGCAGCAGUGGGGAAUAUUGGACAAUGGGCGCAAGCCUGAUCCAGCCAUACCGCGUGGGUGAAGAAGGCCUUCGGGUUGUAAAGCCCUUUUGUUGGGAAAGAAAAGCAGCAGGUUAAUACCCCGCUGUUCUGACGGUACCCAAAGAAUAAGCACCGGCUAACUUCGUG